AUGAACAGGACAAUUGUGGAGAGAGUUGGAUGCUUAUUAUCAAGUGCAAAGCUACGUAAACACUUUUGGGGUGAGGCUUUGAUGACUGCAGUUUAUCUUAUUAAUCACUCACCAAGUUAUCCUUUGCAGGGAGAUGUUCCUAACAGGGUCUGGUGUGACAAGGACGUAUCAUAUGACCACCUGAAAGUUUUUGGGUGCAAGGCCUUUGUUCAUAUUCCUCAAGAUGAAAGGUCAAUGCUUGAUUCGAAGACACGGCAGUGUAUUUUUUUUGGUAUGGUGGUGAUAUCUUUCUUGGCUAUGGUGGUGAUGAGUUUGGCUACAAGCUGUUUGACCCUAUAG
rnacentral:rRNA from 1 species